AUUGAACGCUGGCGGCAGGCCUAACACAUGCAAGUCGAGCGGAUGAAGGGAGCUUGCUCCCUGAUUUAGCGGCGGACGGGUGAGUAAUGCCUAGGAAUCUGCCUGGUAGUGGGGGAUAACGUUCCGAAAGGAACGCUAAUACCGCAUACGUCCCACGGGAGAAAGCAGGGGACCUUCGGGCCUUGCGCUAUCAGAUGAGCCUAGGUCGGAUUAGCUAGUUGGUGAGGUAAUGGCUCACCAAGGCGACGAUCCGUAACUGGUCUGAGAGGAUGAUCAGUCACACUGGAACUGAGACACGGUCCAGACUCCUACGGGAGGCAGCAGUGGGGAAUAUUGGACAAUGGGCGAAAGCCUGAUCCAGCCAUGCCGCGUGUGUGAAGAAGGUCUUCGGAUUGUAAAGCACUUUAAGUUGGGAGGAAGGGCAUUAACCUAAUACGUUAGUGUUUUGACGUUACCGACAGAAUAAGCACCGGCUAACUUCGUGCCAGCAGCCGCGGUAAUACGAAGGGUGCAAGCGUUAAUCGGAAUUACUGGGCGUAAAGCGCGCGUAGGUGGUUCGUUAAGUUGGAUGUGAAAGCCCCGGGCUCAACCUGGGAACUGCAUCCAAAACUGGCGAGCUAGAGUACGGUAGAGGGUGGUGGAAUUUCCUGUGUAGCGGUGAAAUGCGUAGAUAUAGGAAGGAACACCAGUGGCGAAAGGCGACCACCUGGACUGAUACUGACACUGAGGUGCGAAAGCGUGGGGAGCAAACAGGAUUAGAUACCCUGUAGUCCACGCCGUAAACGAUGUCAACUAGCCGUUGGGUUCCUUGAGAACUUAGUGGCGCAGCUAACGCAUUAAGUUGACCGCCUGGGG
rnacentral:rRNA from 1 species